GUCGAGAAUCUUUCACAAUGGGGGCAACCCUGAUGGAGCGACGCCGCGUGGAGGAUAAGGUCUUCGGAUUGUAAACUCCUGUCAUGCGUGAACAAGGUUGCUUGGUUAAUACCUGGGCAAAUUGAUGGUAACGCAAGAGGAAGAGACGGCUAACUCUGUGCCAGCAGCCGCGGUAAUACAGAGGUCUCAAGCGUUGUUCGGAAUCACUGGGCGUAAAGGGUGCGUAGGUGGCGUGGUAAGUCAGAUGUGAAAGCCCGGGGCUCAACCUCGGAACUGCAUCCGAUACUGCCAUGCUAGGGUACUGGAGAGGUGACUAGAAUUCUCGGUGUAGCAGUGAAAUGCGUAGAUAUCGAGAGGAAUACCAAAGGCGUAGGCAGGUCACUGGACAGUUACUGACACUGAGGCACGAAGGCCAGGGGAGCGAACGGGAUUAGAUACCCCAGUAGUCC
rnacentral:rRNA from 1 species